rnacentral:rRNA from 1 species
GACGAACGCUGGCGGCGUGCCUAAUACAUGCAAGUCGAACGAGUGGCGGACGGGUGAGUUACACGUGGGAACCUACCCAUCACAGGGGGAUAACUACUGGAAACGGUAGCUAAUACCGCAUAUCAUCUGAUGUGCCCAGAUGGGAUUAGCUAGUGGGUGGGGUAAUGGCUCACCAAGGCGCCGCUCCCUAGCUGGUCUGAGGGGAUGACCAGCCACACGGGAACGAGGACACGGUCCGGACUCCAACGGGAGGCAGCAGUGGGGAAUAUUGCACAAUGGGCGAAAGCCUGAUGCAGCCAUGCCGCGUGUGUGAAGAAGGCCUUCGGGUUGUAAAGCACUUUCAGCGAGGAGGCGUUACUCGCAGAAGAAGCACCGGCUAACUCCGUGCCAGCAGCCGCGGUAAUAC